rnacentral:rRNA from 1 species
UAGGGAAUAUUGCCCAAUGGGCGAAAGCCUGAGGCAGCGACACCGCGUGGGUGAUGAAGGUAUUAUGUAUCGUAAAGCCUUGUCGUGAGGGAAGAAGGAGUAAUCUGACGU